UGAGGAACUGCCCUCCGAGAACCACAUUGUCCCUUUUUACUCUUUGAUGAAAUUGCGGUGGAAAUUUUUUCAGAAUGGAAAGCAGUGAAAGCCACGGGUCUCCUGGCAAGGAGCUCAGACUCGUGGGCCCGGGAAGUACAUGCUGGCAUGGAGGGACAGAGACGUCGGGGUGCUGCCGCUGAGAGACCAGUGUGCGAUGCAUGGAGGCCUGAAAUCUUGAGGUUUACUCCCCACAAGGGCGUCUGAGCCAAAAGGUAGAAGCUUCGUUCAAACGACCGAUCGCAUCGUCUUACUGGAGAGCUGCUUUGAGCCAGUGAAGUCCAUGUCAAGGAGUGUAGAUGCUGGUGUUAUAGGCAUGCACUGCCACUCCUAGCUACAAUCAUAGAUAGCUGUUACCCGCCACACCCUGCCAUAGCCUUCAACUUUCCUAACAUGUCCUCUCGUGGACUGGAAUUCGUUAAGGAAGACAGCUACUCCAAAACCCUGAAGGGGCGUCCAGGUCCCCUGGACUGGAGGAGUUGGAGCCUCUGCCAACCACAGGUGCUUGUGAAGCAGGCCCCCGAAAGAGGUUCAGAAAGGCCUCUACAUUUCCUAGGCAAUGCAGGUCAUCUGGUCUGACCCAAACCUCACAACCCCACAGGAACUUCAAAUUCACAACCAGACAGAGCAGAGUGACAGCUGCCCCCUGCUACGGCCCUUUGGGACUCAAGAACCCAAAAACCAACACUCCUGCCCUCUCAGGGUCUCUGGCCUGAGGAAGUGGUGGCAGGCAAAGACCCACACAGUCCUCUCCGGUGCAGACCACAGUUUGAGCACAGGAAGAUCUUGGAAGACAGACUUGACGGGGCCCAAUGGAGUGCUGGACCCAGAGUUGCACAACUCGGCAUCUUCCAGUUCCUCCACUCCAAUGCUGAGACCUCGACGCGUGGGAUCCUCCUGCUGGUCUCUGUGCCAUGGAUGCAUGCUCAGACUCAAAAACUGAGCGUUGAGUUGGUCAGAAAAAGCUGUGGAGUGGCACUUGGUCUAGAGCUACAACUCUGUUUCGGGUGUGGAUUCAAGCCUCUGUACAGGCUUGUAUUUCUUAGUUCCACCUGGAGGUUUGAUCCCACAUCCCAGAAUCGAGCUGUGUUUUUGGGUAAUCUAUGCUGGUACAGGUCCUCGGGCUGCCUUCCUAGUGACUGAGUUAGAUUUAGAUGUACCAUUUGUCUCUCUCCUCCUAAGUCCUGCCACUAGCUGGCCUGAGUGUGUUAAUGUCAGAAACAGGGACACGUUUGGUUUGUCUUUUCACAAUGUCAGAAUCUAUUGAGUAACAAUAAAUUCACAAUCUACA